rnacentral:rRNA from 1 species
GGGCCCGCACAAGCGGUGGAGUAUGUGGUUUAAUUCGAUGCAACGCGAAGAACCUUACCAGGGUUUGACAUCCUGCGAAUCUCUUGGAAACGAGAGAGUGCCUUCGGGAACGCAGUGACAGGUGGUGCAUGGCUGUCGUCAGCUCGUGUCGUGAGAUGUUGGGUUAAGUCCCGUAACGAGCGCAACCCUUGUCCUUAGUUGCCAUCAUUUAGUUGGGCACUUUAAAGAGACUGCCGGUGAUAAACCGGAGGAAGGUGAGGACGACGUCAAGUCAGCAUGCCCCUUACGCCCUGGGCUACACACGUACUACAAUGGCCGAGACAAAGAGUCGCAAGUCUGCAAAGGCAAGCU